rnacentral:rRNA from 1 species
UACGUAGGGUGCAAGCGUUAAUCGGAAUUACUGGGCGUAAAGCGUGCGCAGGCGGUUUUGUAAGUCUGUCGUGAAAGCCCCGGGCUCAACCUGGGAAUUGCGAUGGAGACUGCAAGGCUAGAGUGUGUCAGAGGGGGGUAGAAUUCCACGUGUAGCAGUGAAAUGCGUGGAUAUGUGGAGGAACACCGAUGGCGAAGGCAGCCCCCUGGGAUAACACUGACGCUCAUGCACGAAAGCGUGGGGAGCAAACAGG